rnacentral:tRNA from 1 species
CGGGGAGUGGCGCAACUUGGCCAGCGCGCACGGUUCGGGUCCGUGAGGUUGCGGGUUCAAAUCCCGCCUCCCCGACCA